AAAACUUUCCAUCCACUGUAACCAACAAAAGCAAGUUUAAAUAUAUGUUCCAAGUUUAAAUCUACAACAAUAUUCCAAAAUUUAGAAUUGCAGCAAAUAAGAACUAACUGAAAAAUGAAAAUGUCUAGAAUCAUCAAACACUUAAUUGCUUUUCUAUUCUAUACGCUUCAUUGAGGGGCAGCGAAUUGCAAGCACAAAGAUAAAGGUUUGCAUUGAGAGAAAACAAUUACUGAAAAAUCACAAUGAAGCCUAAUGGUGUCCGAAUUCUCCUUCCUACUACUCCACUUUGGUGAGACUUAUAAUUGAGUAAUGGCGCUUUUCAUGCUUUUACUGAUACUA
rnacentral:misc_RNA from 1 species